CUUAUCUUUCUCCUGCAGCCAGCGCCUCAUGCCCUAUUCCAUCUAGCUCCUAGUCUCGAAGUCGACUGGUCUUGCCUGCUCCUCCUCUGUUGUGUCUGACCGACGUUGUUUCCUGCUUUCCUCUUCUUCCCAUCGAUUCAAGCUUUUAUAGCUCCCAAAACUGCUGCUUGUGCUAGUGUGCUUCGCCGCCAUUGCCUCUUGUGUUAAGCUGAGUUUUUGGAGCUACCAAUAUGUGACUUAAGCUGAUCGCAAAUUCGAUAAGCAACUUUAGUUUUAUUACAGCUUAGCUUCUAAUUCUGAAGCAGGAUUUUCUUAAUUUUCUGCUGGUUUUUCUUGUUGGUCUCAUUUUCAGGGGAAUUGAAGAAUCAUAUUCCAAUGAAGAUGUUUCUGUUUAUUUGGUGGAGACUCCUGCUUGCAGGCAAACGAGAGAGCAAAUCCAUGAAUUUAUGGAGAAGUAUAAGACAUACAAACUUGCAAAAGCUGAGAUCCUCAAUGUCAUCAACGUUGCACCUCGUGAAUUAGUUGAAAUUGACCCGGAUGCACUCCACAAAUAGACUGAUGCUUUGGCUGUCCAUUUUUUCAUCAAAAUGGCGUGCUUUUGUUUUAAGGCUGGAGCUAGAAAUAACUAAGGCUUUAAGCUAAAAAUGGUGGCAAACAUAUUGUAAGUAGGGAUAUCAGUUCCCUUGUGCGUGUGUGUUUGUGUUUGUGUCUGUGUGUGUGUUUUUUCUAUUCAUUAUUUUAAUUAAGUUUUAUGGUAAAAGUACUGGUAUAAACCACAAGUGGUCUCUUAACACCAUCAAAUUAUGGAAAUUGGCAAGGUAGAAAGUUAAGAACACUUAAGUUUGAAAAUUAAGAAACUAUGUUGUAAUGCUUUUAAUUAAAUUUAUUAAAAAACUGAAAAAUAGUUUAGACGAGUCAUAUGGCAAGGGCAUGGAAUAAGUUAAGAACACUUAAGUUUGAAAAUUUUUAGUGCAGGACUCCUAAUGAAAUGUAUCAGCAAUCUAGAAUAAAAAAAAAUGAACUUGAUAUUUAUUGUCACCACAGAAUACUGUAAUCCAAUGAUUUGACACUUUUGCUAAUUAAUAGCCAAUAUCAAUCUGAACCUAUCCUAGCUAUGAGGUCUGGGUCCACGCUAGGCUCAGAUGGAGUUGAAAAACGAGGUUGUGAGGAGAAAUGCCAAUGCUGAUUUUUAGAAUAUUGAGAAAUUUAAGAAUGGCUAUGGAAUAAACUUUCAAAAUUAAGGUGUUCUUGUAAUCUUUUCAAAAUUAAGGUUAUCUACUAUAUAGAGCACAAUAACGUUGUGGAUGAUGGAAACUAAAGCUAUAUCUGAUGGGUGAAAUUAUCAAAGUCCAAAAGCCAUAAUUGAAAAAUAAAUGUUGUGUGUCUAUUUGCAUGUCCAAAUGAUGUGUAAUAUAGAUUGCAAUACUCUUGCUAUCAAAUUUGUAUGAGAAUCACCUUUUCUGAUUCGCUAUGUAAUCAUUAAUUAUUAGAUAAUAUAUUUCAUUCUCCAAUGUAUAUAUUUGCUAGUUUUAUAUGUAUGUAAGGUCACAAUAAUUUGUAUAAAAUCUACAAAUUCGAUUUUCUUCUCAAUUCUUGAUUAAUAAAAUUAUGAUUUUGAUUCUAAAUUUGACAACUUAGGAAUUAAACAGAUUCAAACAAAUCAUGAUGUAAAAAUAACUAUUAGACAGGAAAGAUUGGGAUCCAAAAAAAAAUCAUAGAUACCGCUUUUUCUAUGCUUGAGAAAUGCUGCAUCCUGUUUGAUAAGAUUUUCUGCAUGUGUACCAGAGAAGCCAUAGCUGUUCCCUGAAAUUCUAUCAUAUUAUCCAAUAAAAAGGAAAGGAAAGCAUGUAGAUGCAAAAUUGAAUAUCACUACUGUCAAAUUCUUAAGCACUAUAUCAUAACGACAUUAGCUGUGCAAGAAGGGGUUGGGGGAAUGAAUAAAAAGAAGAGAUCGCUUUGCUUC